rnacentral:rRNA from 1 species
AUUGAACGCUGGCGGCAUGCUUUACACAUGCAAGUCGAACGGCAGCGGGGUAGUGCUUGCACUACUGUCCGGCGAGUGGCGAACGGGUGAGUAAUAUAUCGGAACGUGCCGAGUAAUGGGGGAUAACCAAUCGAAAGAUUGGCUAAUACCGCAUACGUCCUAAGGGAGAAAGCGGGGGAUCGCAAGACCUCGCGUUAUUCGAGCGGCCGAUAACUGAUUAGCUAGUUGGUGGGGUAAAGGCCUACCAAGGCGACGAUCAGUAGCGGGUCUGAGAGGACGAUCCGCCACACUGGGACUGAGACACGGCCCAGACUCCUACGGGAGGCAGCAGU